rnacentral:rRNA from 1 species
UGCCAGCCGCCGCGGUAAUACGGAGGGUGCAAGCGUUAAUCGGAAUUACUGGGCGUAAAGCGCGCGUAGGCGGUUUGGUCAGUUGGAUGUGAAAGCCCCGGGCUUAACCUGGGAACUGCAUUCAAUACUGCCAGACUAGAGUACGAGGGAGGGGGGUAGAAUUUCUAGUGUAGCGGUGAAAUGCGUAGAUAUUAGAAGGAAUACCAGUGGCGAAGGCGGCCCCCUGGCUCGAUACUGACGCUGAGGUGCGAAAGCGUGGGGAGCAAACAGGAUUAGAUA